CGCUAAUAUCGUCUUAGUGACUUGCUAGACGUAGAGUUCGCGUGGAGUCUCCCCUUUCCUUAUUUAGUUUGCGUUUGCGUCUCCCCUUUGGAAGUCUUUGACUUGGAGUAUCCCUUCUUCUUCAAUUUGGAAUUUCCCCUUAAUCUCAAAGCUUAGGUUUACACUUUCCCGAGUUCGUCUCUCCCCUUCCUGUACAAGCACAAAGUUUGAGUUUCUCCUUAAUCCCAAAGGUUUAAGGUUUUGGUUCUUUUGAGAAUAAAUGGGUCAGCUCUUAUCGAAGAUAGACAAGAAAAGGAUUCAGCAUUAUCCUCAUUCAUCUGCUCGAUUGAUACACUUCAACCGAGUUCAUUGGAGGGAACAACCGAUUGGACGUGAUUUUAUUGAAGGAAAACGCUGCUCCAUUUGUUUCACUUGAAUGGCACAACAAAGUACCCACAAUCAAUCAAGAAAAUGGCAUUGUAGGACCUGAGCCAACAGAAACACUUAUGAAAUUCCAGUCAGACAUAGUCUUGCUUCCAGGCCGAAAGCAUCAGGACAAGGUUUUCUUUGGCCAGAAUUAAUUUAGUAUGCAAGGAAUCACUCACUCAAGGGAAGGGGAAAAGUUAUUAAGGUGGGAGAUCUUGUUUAUAUUACUAAGAAGGUUUCCUCUUUUGCAGAUGUAGUAGCUUAAGAAAUCAUAAACCUUGCAGUUGUGUUAAUGGCCUUUUGGGCCUCCAAUGACAAUAAUUUUGUAAUAAUACCUCUGUAUUUGAUGUAAUUGGAAGAAGAUAUAUCUCCAUGGAAACACCAUGUGCCCACUUGGGUUCUCUUACAUUAGAUGGUUUCGGGAUUCUCUCACCAAUUUGAAUCCUAUGUUUUGACC